rnacentral:rRNA from 1 species
UACGUAGGUGGCAAGCGUUGUCCGGAUUUACUGGGCGUAAAGGAUGCGUAGGUGGAUAUGCAAGUCAGAUGUGAAAUCUCCGAGCUUAACUCGGAACUGUCAGCUGAUACUGAUGUGCUAGAGUGCAGAAGGGGCAAUCGGAAUUCUUGGUGUAGCGGUGAAAUGCGUAGAUAUCAAGAGGAACACCUGAGGUGAAGACGGGUUGCUGGGCUGACACUGACGCUGAGUGCGCGAAAGCCAGGGGAGCAAACGGG